rnacentral:rRNA from 1 species
UUUUUUUUUUUGGGUAUUUCCCCCCGUGACUUAGCAUAUCAGUAAGCGGAGGAAAAGAAACUAACGAGGAUUCCCGUAGUAACGGCGAGUGAACUGGGACGAGUCCAGCGCUGAAUCGCGGCGCCUCUGGUGCCGCGAGGUGUAGCGUACAGACCGUGAGCUUGGGUAGGCGUGUCCGUUCAAGUUCCCCUUGACCGGGGCUCCAGAGAAGGUGCAAGACCUGUCCAACGGAUGCUGCCGGCCCAUCUUCGCGCGUCUUGGAGUCGGGUUGUUUGGGAGCGCAGCCCAAAGAAGGUGGUAAACUUCAUCUAAGACUGAAUAUGACCACGAGUCCGAUAGCGAACAAGUACCGUGAGGGAAAGUUGCAAAGCACUUUGAAGAGAGAGUUAAAGAGGACGUGAAACCGAUGAGGUGGAAACGGACAGAGCUGGCGUAUCUGGCCUGCAUUCAGCUGUGCCCCGCUGGCGUCAGGGAUGCCGCUCUCCAGAUUGGGACGGUGGCCUGUCUGCCGGCGGGUUUGCGGUGCAUUUGCAGGUGGAGUGCGCCGAGGCGCUCGGUGCAGCGGCAUGAGCUUGGCUUUGAGGCCAGCCCCUCACGGGGUCUGGUACCCGGGCCAGGGGAGUGCUGUUUGUGCUGGGCGACAGCCAUGGGCAAUGGACUCGGGCUCGUGUGGGUGCCGAGCUGGAGGUCGGCGUCGGUCGCUUGCGACACGUGCCGGCACUCAGUUCGGUCCUGCUCGAGCUCACAUCUGCCCGUCCUCGGUGUAAAAGCCGGUCAUCUGUCCGACCCGUCUUGAAACACGGACCAAGGAGUUUAGCGUGUGCGCGAGUCAUUGGGCGUUGAAAACCCAAAGGCGUAAUGAAAGUGAAGGUCUCCCUUGCGGAGCUGACGUGUGAUCCUGGGCACCGCGGUGCGCCGGGCGCAACAUGGUCCCGUCCCGAUUGCUUGCAAUGGGGCGGAGACAGAGCGUACGCGCUGAGACCCGAAAGAUGGUGAACUAUUCCUGAGCAGGAUGAAGCCAGAGGAAACUCUGGUGGAAGUCCGAAGCGAUUCUGACGUGCAAAUCGAUCGUCUGACUUGGGUAUAGGGGCGAAAGACUAAUCGAACAUCUAUACUGGGGUUCCUUCCCAAAAA